rnacentral:tRNA from 1 species
GGGCAGAUAGCUCAGUUGGUUAGAGCGCUUCUCUUUCACAGAAGAGGUACGCUUGGUGUAGUACUCAACCAGCACA